rnacentral:misc_RNA from 1 species
GGGGGUUUGAUGAUGAAAUGAGAUCUGUGGUUGCAAGAAACCUCGAAGGAAGGGGAAUCAAAUUGCACCCAGGGACAAAUCUAUCCCAGUUGACUAAGACUGAAGAUGGCAUUAAAGUUGCUACUGACCAUGGAGAUGAAUUUGUAGCAGAUGCUGUGUUAUUUGCCACGGGUCGGCAUCCAAACACAAAGAGGUUGAACUUAGAAGCUGUUGGCGUUGAGCUUGAUAAAGCUGGAGCUAUCAAGGUGGACGAGUACUCACGCACAAAUGUUCCCAGCAUAUGGGCCGUGGGUGAUGUAACAAACCG